rfam:Stegodyphus mimosarum contig76460, whole genome shotgun sequence.
GCCUUUGUGGUGUAGUGGUUAGCACGCUCGGUGUGUAACCGAGAGGUCCGUGGUUCAAUUCCCGGCGAAGGCG